UGGGGAAUUUUGGACAAUGGGCGCAAGCCUGAUCCAGCCAUGCCGCGUGAGUGAAGAAGGCCUUCGGGUUGUAAAGCUCUUUCGGCCGGGAAGAAAUCGGGGCGGCGAAAACCUGCUCUGGAUGACGGUACCGGACUAAGAAGCACCGGCUAACUACGUGCCAGCAGCCGCGGUAAUACGUAGGGUGCGAGCGUUAAUCGGAAUUACUGGGCGUAAAGCGUGCGCAGGCGGUUUGCUAAGACAGGUGUGAAAUCCCCGGGCUUAACCUGGGAACUGCGCUUGUGACUGGCAGGCUAGAGUACGGUAGAGGGGGGUGGAAUUCCUGGUGUAGCAGUGAAAUGCGUAGAGAUCAGGAGGAACACCGAUGGCGAAGGCAGCCCCCUGGGCCUGUACUGACGCUCAUGCACGAAAGCGUGGGGAGCAAACAGGAUUAGAUACCCUGGUAGUCCACGCCCUAAACGAUGUCGACUAGUUGUCGGUGCAGCAAUGCGCU
rnacentral:rRNA from 1 species